rnacentral:rRNA from 1 species
UGGGUAGUACAGAGGGUUGCCAAGCCGUAAGGUGGAGCUAAUCCCUUAAAGCUACUCUCAGUUCGGAUUGUAGGCUGAAACUCGCCUACAUGAAGCUGGAGUUACUAGUAAUCGCAGAUCAGAAUGCGGCGGUGAAUGCGUUCCCGGGUCUUGUACACACCGCCCGUCACACCACGGGAGUUGGAGACGCCCGAAGCCGAUUAUCUAACC